GAUGAACGCUGGCGGCGUGCCUAAUACAUGCAAGUCGAGCGAACAGAUAAGGAGCUUGCUCCUUUGACGUUAGCGGCGGACGGGUGAGUAACACGCGGGUAACCUACCUAUAAGACUGGGAUAACUUCGGGAAACCGGAGCUAAUACCGGAUAACACUUGGAACCGCAUGGUUCUAAAGUGAAAGAUGGUUUUGCUAUCACUUAUAGAUGGACCCGCGCCGUAUUAGCUAGUUGGUAAGGUAACGGCUUGCCAAGGCGACGAUACGUAGCCGACCUGGGAGGGUGAUCGGCCACGCUGGAACUGAGACACGGUCCAGACUCCUACGGGAGGCAGCAGUAGGGAAUCUUCCGCAAUGGGCGAAAGCCUGACGGAGCAACGCCGCGUGAGUGAUGAAGGGUUUCGGCUCGUAAAACUCUGUUAUUAGGGAAGAACAAAUGUGUAAGUAACUGUGCACGUCUUGACGGUACCUAAUCAGAAAGCCACGGCUAACUACGUGCCAGCAGCCGCCGUAA
rnacentral:rRNA from 1 species